UCCCGAUUAGCUCAGUCGGUAGAGCGUCAGACUUUUAUACGUGAAAGUCUACGAGAAUGCACUCGUACGAUCUGUAUGUUAUCUGAAUGUCAGGGGUUCGAGCCCCCUAUUGGGAG
rfam:Pseudozyma antarctica T-34 DNA, contig: scaffold00011.